rnacentral:rRNA from 1 species
AUGCACGCUGGCGGCGUGCCUAAUCCCUGCCAGUCGAGCGAACAGACGAGGAGCUUGCUCCUCUGGCGUUAGCGGCGGACGGGUGAGUAACACGUGGAUAACCUACCUAUAAGACUGGGAUAACUUCGGGAAACCGGAGCUAAUACCGGAUAAUAUAUUGAACCGCAUGGUUCAAUAGUGAAAGACGGUUUUGCUGUCACUUAUAGAUGGAUCCGCGCCGCAUUAGCUAGUUGGUAAGGUAACGGCUUACCAAGGCAACGAUGCGUAGCCGACCUGAGAGGGUGAUCGGCCACACUGGAACUGAGACACGGUCCAGACUCCUACGGGAGGCAGCAGUAGGGAAUCUUCCGCAAUGGGCGAAAGCCUGACGGAGCAACGCCGCGUGAGUGAUGAAGGUCUUCGGAUCGUAAAACUCUGUUAUUAGGGAAGAACAAAUGUGUAAGUAACUAUGCACGUCUUGACGGUACCUAAUCAGAAAGCCACGGCUAACUACGUG